rnacentral:misc_RNA from 1 species
UACGCUCGUGUUGUGAGGCCAAGUAACUAAGAGUAGAACAGUGCGGAUUGUUUUGUGAUAUAAUUUUCAUUCUAAAUGUAGAUGGCUAUGACAGUGUUAUGCAUAAGACGUGGACGACGAACUUUUGUCUCAAGCAUUAAAGCAUUAACCUUGAUUUUUGGAAUAUUAGCAAGCGUUAUUGUUUUGCUUAACAUUUCAAGUGCAAUGUACACAGAAAUCACUAGUACGACCAUUCAAUUUGAAAAUACGGGAAAUUUCAACUACCUUGACUCAUCUUUGACUAUCUGUAACAAAAACAAACAACCAUUAUUCCUCUUCAUAGCUGUACCCAGUACAACAGGCAACUUUCGACAGAGGAUGGCUAUUCGAAAUUCAUGGGGAAGUGUUGUGAAGGGAGAUGAUUCCUUACAAUUGGUUUUCUUUAUCGGAAAAAUAGUCAACAAAGAGAAUAAAGAUACAAUUGCGAAGGAGAAAGAAAAGGUGUAAAGUAAAAGGUGCUUCGCCAUUUAGAUUCCCUCUUUCUAAAUGGCGCAUUUCACGAGAGGAAUACAAAGAAGAUGUGUUCCCAGACUACAUUAGCGGACCGGCCUACGUCAUAUCCGGUGAUAUUCUCUCUAAACUUUACCUUGCUACGAAGAAAGUGCCAUACAUAUUUUUAGAGGACGUGUAUUUAACAGGAAUAUGUCGGAGACAUAUCAACGCCAUUGCGGUGGGACAUCCUGGCUUUAGUUGCGGAUAUAGAGAUCAAGGACCAUGUGGCGGACACUUUCGGUACAAAAUUACAGGACACCAUUAUAUGCCGGAAGAAAUGGAACGAAUGUGGACAGAACUGAACGAUAGGUGGUAUACAUGUCCAUUUAAGCAUUCUCAUUGGGUGUCUAAGCUAAAAGAUUUUAUUUUCUACUUUGUUUAAUAAAAAUCUAACAAGAAGUGGUUUUUUGACAUUUUUUAAAGUAUGUCCUAAGUUAUUGCCUCCAUCCCUUUUUGGUGAUUUUUAAUUAAAAUUCACAUACCUGUGGAAGAAAUACAGUUGAAAUUGAUAAAGUUGAAAAUAUCUAAGAUAUCUUCACUGGCGGAUUUAAGGGGGGCGUGGAGGGCGCACGCCCCCCCCCCCAAAAAAAAAUUUCAAAGUAUGCAUGACUGUAGAUGAUUUGAUAAAUUUUACAUAGAAAAGUUAACAUUUUGUGUUUCACUUUAUUUAUAAUUAUGCCUGACUCAAUGUUACACCUCAUCGAUACACCAGCUGUGCUAUGCUGAAUGUAAUUCUGCUACUCUAUAAACAUCUAUAAACAUCUGAUCCUAAUGCAUAUUGACAGGUUCUGAUAACGACCCAAUUAUAAACUGUGUUUAAAACAAGCAGUGUUGGUCAUUUCAUUAUGGUGGCUGCAUCAAAUUCCCCAGGGCCCUGAACUUGGGGCUUCGACCAAGAAUCGACUGGAAAUCCCAGCAGUUUUGUUUCAAGUGUAGACUGCGCUGUCAUUUCCCUAUUGCGAUGCAAGCAAAUUUUUCUGAAUAUUUAAAAGCUGGUCGAAGGUAAAUAUAUAAUUGCAUUUAAAACCAGAUGGUCUAUGUGCAAUCAUUAAUUAAUUACUGUAUUCUUUUUGAAAUUUUUUCUAGAUAAAUAGACUAUUUUAAUAUAAGAAUACUGAAGAUUUGAUGCAUCAGAUAUUUCUAACAGCUUAUAGGGGGUCGGAUACCGUAACGUCAUUAGAAUGUUGUACUUUUGAUAACCUGGUUAAUUUUGGGAGUUCAUAAAUGCCUAAAAUAUUUUGUUUUAAAUUCAAUACAUGUAUUAGGUAUAAGUAACAAUAUGUGUCAAAUUGUUAUAUAUAUAUAUGUUAUAGGCUUUUGUGUAAAGGAAGCAAGCACCAAGGGGAAAUAGUAGAUGGCAGAAGUCUGGUGAUUAAAAGAAAUGAAAACUU